rnacentral:lncRNA from 1 species
UUGGUGACCCUUGGUGACACUUUGGUGCCCCUUGGUGACACUUUGGUGCCACCCCGGUGCCCCUUGGUGCCACUUUAAUGCCACUCCGGUGUCCCCAGGUGCCACCGCGGUGCCCCCCCGCUGUCACUGCCCCGCCGGUGGCUCCUGUGUCCCCGCGCCCCCGCUGGCCCUGCCGGUGCCACCGCCGCCCCCUUGGGGACUGUCCCCAGCCUCCCCCUUGGUGGCACCCGGCGAGCCGCCGGUGGCACUUGGGGACAGCUGCGGCGCGGGCGGCGGGGUGGCGUUGGUGGUGGCAUUGUUGGUGACAGCGGCGGUGCCACCCUUGGUGUCACCCGCGGCGGGCGGCAGCGACACCACGAUGUAUUUCUGCACGGCGCCGGUGACGUUGGUGGCACUGCUGGUGGCACUGCUGCUGGUGGCACUGGUGGUGGCACUGCUGGGGACAGCGGGGGACACCAGCUUGACGAGCGGCUGCACGCUGGGGACAGUGCUGGUGACAGGGGACGUGGCCGUGGGCGCGGGGGACGUGCUCAGCGUGAUCACCUGGGGACACGGCACCGGUGGCACCGCGGUGUCCCCAAUGUCCCCAAUGUCCCCAAUGUCCUCGCCUUGUCCCUGCCUCUGUCCCCAAUGUCCCCCCUUGUCCCCUUCGUUGUCACCACCCCCAAUGUCCCCCUGUGCCACCGUGUUGUCCCCAAUGUCCCCUGACCCGCUGUCCCCUCC